CUUUUUAAUUGACUUAAAGACUCAUUACAUGUUAUUCACCUCAGUAGAAUGUAGGCUCGAGGAGUGAGGCUUAGAAACAAUAAAUGUGUGUUCAAUGGAAUUAUCUCAUUUGAUCUUUAUAACAAUCCAUUAGGAUAUUAUGGGUAUUACGCCCAUUAUGUAGACUAGAAAAACCAAGACUCAAAGAGAUUAUGUGCAAUUUUCCUAUGUUCUUAUCCCAUAUUGCUUUUAUCUAUGAGAAAGUUAGGGAGACUUCCCCUAACUUAAAGGGUCUUUCUUCAUGUAAUAAAAUAGUUGCCCUAAGUCUUUAAUGGUUAAAUAGUUUCAAAAUUUUUAAAAAUGACAACUUUCAGUUGUUAUUCUUUACUUAUUAAGUCCCUAAUCCAAGCUUCCCAUGGAAAUGUUACUUGGAAGUUUAUAGAAAAAUGAAGCUGUGCUUAGUGGAACAUAAAGACUAUCCAUAUUCUAUUUUCCCCAAGAGUAGUUCUCAUUUCCUUUGGAAAAUAGAGGCCUAAAGGGUUAGCCUGAACUGAACUGCUCAGCCUUUAACAUUUUUGCAAAAUUAUCUUGUUGACAAGUGCAGCAUUAUAAAUUUGAAUCCAUUAGCUAAAAGGAUCCAUAAAUAUUUGAAUAAUGGCCCUUUGCCGUUUUCACUAGUCUAUCAAACACAUCACAUGUCCACUCUUCAAUUUCCUUACUGCUACAAUGAAUAGCUUCAGACCAAAUGCCACCUAAGCCUUCUCACUGUUGAUGUUCUUCCCACAAUUUCAAAAUGGAAGCAGUUAUUAUUGUAUGAGGAUAAGAACACAAAACCAAUGUGGAGAGCCCAACUUUUGGUUACAAUACAAUCCAAAUGUAUCUUCCUCUUCAUAACUUUCUGGGUUGAAAAAAACAAAAAGGACACCUAGCAGAUAGAGGUUCAAGUGAAAAACUUACUUUCAGCUUCAUCUGCAGCUUUGACAGCAUUUGGAAGAGGCAGUAAAAAAAAAAAAUCCUCCCCAUGCAUUCCAUCUCUGGAACAACUUCUCACUCUAUCAUCCCCACAUCAAACAGAAAUGUGCACUGUGUCGUAGGUUCAGCCCUAGAGAAAUUAUCAAUAUUCACACAUCUGGCACAUAUCUGUUGGAAGAAAAAAAAUCCUCAUGCCAUCUGUAUUUUCGCCAUUAUUUUAUAGCAAAAUGUCAGUCGAUCAACAGAAUGAGCUACUCUUCUGUCAUCUUCUCCAACAAUCUCAGAAAUGUAAACCUAACUCUACUCCUUGGCUCUUUACAUGAAGGUCUCCAUUAUGGUGAAGAAGAGAUGAUGUCACCACAAGGAGAAUUAUAGAAUCACAAAUGGACAUAGAUCUGGAAAGAUUGCCUGGCUUCUCUCCCUGUAGGAGACCGAGGAUACUCUGGUAGAGAAAUGAUGUUGCACAAAGAACCCUGGAGUCAAUAGAUGUGAGUUAAGAGGAAACCUGGUCUGAACAGUGGCUAAAGUGCUGGAACUGCAGUCUAGAAGAGCAGAGUUCAAAUAUUGUCUCUGAGGAUCACUCGUCGUGUGACCAAUGGUGAGUCAUUUAAAGUCCCUGAGUCUGGCCAGGUCAGUAAAAUGGGAAUAAUAUCAGUUGUGUCAAGGACUGAUGUAAUAUUCAAAUAAGAUGAUUUGUGUAAAAGCACUUCACAAACUUUAAAGGGUUAUAAUUAGAAUUCAAAGUCUAUCCUCUGUGACACAUUGGAAGAAACACUGGAUUUUUGUUGAAAAGGCCUAGUUUUAAGCCCUGGAUCAGACAUGGGAAAAAACACAUAGACUCUCUGGUCCUCUCUUCCCCUAUCAAAAAACUGAGACGAUUUACUUAGAAGUUGCAAAAUUUCUUCCAGUUCUAAAACCUGUGAUUCUCAUUUAGUAACUGUAUAGCCUUGGGUAAAUCAUUUAGCCUCUCUGAGUCUCUGUUUUCUUACCAAUGAAGUGUGAGUAAUUGAAUUUGACUCAAGUGAACAGACAUUAAUUUAGUGCCUAUCAUAUCCUAGGCACGAUGAUAAGAUUUGGAGAUAUAAAGAUAAAAAUAAAACAUUCUCCAUCCUUAAGAAGCUUACA
rnacentral:lncRNA from 1 species